rnacentral:rRNA from 2 species
AGCGGUGGAGCAUGUGGUUUAAUUCGAGGUAAUCGGAAGAACCUUACCAGGUCUUGACAUCCUCUGACAACCCUAGAGAUAGGGCUUUCCCCUUCGGGGGACAGAGUGACAGGUGGUGCAUGGUUGUCGUCAGCUCGUGUCGUGAGAUGUUGGGUUAAGUCCCGCAACGAGCGCAACCCUUGAUCUUAGUUGCCAGCAUUCAGUUGGGCACUCUAAGGUGACUGCCGGUGACAAACCGGAGGAAGGUGGGGAUGACGUCAAAUCAUCAUGCCCCUUAUGACCUGGGCUACACACGUGCUACAAUGGAUGGUACAAAGGGCUGCAAACCUGCGAAGGUAAGCGAAUCCCAUAAAGCCAUUCUCAGUUCGGAUUGUAGGCUGCAACUCGCCUACAUGAAGCCGGAAUCGCUAGUAAUCGCGGAUCAGCAUGCCGCGGUGAAUACGUUCCCGGGCCUUGAACCCCCCCCCCCCUACAA